UCCCAGUUCUUGAGGGGCAUCAGUGUCUGGUUCAAUCACACCUUCAUUAUCAAUAACUAGAUCACUUUCCUCACUUGAUGGCGUUAGAUAUGAGUUCUAAAUUUCUCUUCAAAGAAUCAAUAUGUCAGUAUGUUCGAUUCUUUGCCUUCUACUUUUAAACUUAACUUCCUCAUAAAGCAACCUUUUUCAAUCACCUGCUCCACUCUGACUCAUUCCGAUUACCUGCUCCACCCUGACUCAUUCUGAUCACCUGCCCCACCAUGACUCAUUCCAAUUACCUGCUCCACCCUGACUCAUUCCAAUUACCUGCCUGCCUUGGCUCAUUCUGAUCACCUGCCCCACCCUGACUCAUUAUGAUCACCUUCCCCAACCUGACUCAUUCUGAUCACUUGCCCCAUCCUGACUCACUCCAAUUACCUGCUCCACCCUGACACGUUCCGGUUACCUGCUCCUGCCUGACUUCUCCUCCACUCUGACUUAUUCCAUAACCAUUUUUCCCGCUAAACCACUCACCACAUCACUCUCUUUAAAUUAGCCAAUCGGAAUUAGUUUAGCCUGUGCAGUCUAACCCUAGCCAAUAGGGGAACGACACAGCAGCAGGGGCCACGUGCAUCAGGAAUAAGAACCCCUUUCCCACCCAGGUGUGUUCUCGCUAUUGUUCCAUCUGCAACUGAGCACCUUUUCUGCAGAAAGUAAAGACAGCCUUGCUAAGAGAUCAUUUGUCUCCAAGCUGACUUUUCUUUGCAGCACCGAUUAUCUAUUUCUAACAAUUUUGGGGGCUCGUCCAGGAUUACAGUCUCCUCUAGGGUGGGUCUCCAGUCCUCUCUUGUGAGAAGGCAUGCCCCACUACCUCGUUUUUGGCAGCCUCAGGGGUGAGGAACCGAGAUCCACCCAGUGUGAUGAAUAAACUGGGACUCUCAGCAACGUGGAAAGAAACUGGCUAGCAACGUAGGGUAAAGGAUCCUCACAUACUGCGGUAAUGACUCUGCACAGACCAAGGAAGGAGAAACCAUGGGAGCUGAGGUCUUUCAGCAGAGGCGCCGCCUUUGGAGUUUCCAGUACAUCAGCAUCGGCCUGGGGAUCACGUUCUCAUCAAAGGGUGGAAAGAAGGGAAACUUGAGCCAGCCUGGGAAGGACCCUGCAUUGUGCUGCUAACCACCGAGAUUGCUGUUUGUACAGCAGAAAAGGAUGGACACAUCACACCCUAGUCAAAGGCGUAUUGCUACAUUUGGGGCAAUGCGUACAUAUGUGGUUUCGUUAGCUCCAGCGGGGGCUAAUCCUCUGACAGAGCCACCUCUCACACGAAACACUGAAUGGAGGCGAUCCCGAGAUGGAUGGAGCAGCAGCAGCGCAGGUUGCUGCAGCUGUGCUGCCAGAGAUUGUAAUUCAGGAACCAAUCUCAAGCUGAGCAGAGGAAAAAAUGAGAUGCUUCAUGAAAAUGGCCAAAUGUCAUCACCAGCUAUUUUGUGAGAAGAGCUAUGUUAGGAGCCAUCCACAUGUAAAAUGGACUUUCACCAAAUUCCAUCCAUCUGCCGGUCAUGGAAGCUCACAACAUGUAUGUCUCCUGAGGGAGCCUUUUCGUUUUGUGCUUUUUCUGGCACUAAGAAAUACAGACACUUGUGAUUUACUACUGGGCACUUAUAGGAAUGGAGUCAACUAUUUCCUAAGAAACUCAAAGACUGAAAUGAGAAAUUCAGAAAAUAAAAAUAUUUUCUGUGUUAGAAAACUAUAUACCAGAAAGCCUGAAAAGUGAGGCAAAGGGCACGAAAUUCUGGUUAAUAAGAUGUUGUAGAUUAGUGAGAACUUGAAAAUGUUUUUGCUUCUAGUAUAUUUUUUGGAAUUUCUAAACUAUAUUAGCUCCCUUUCUUACCUUAGGAAUUACAGUAUUGUGAUCAUGUGAGAAGAUAGUUCUAAAUAUUAAUAAAUAUUUUUAACUUCAUCAAAUACGUCUUUGAAGAUUUCGUGUUUUGAUGUUUGAGGUCAUAGUACCAUAACAUAGAGCAGGGAUGCAGCAUUGAAGAAUUAAAGGGCGCCAAGUUAGAAAUCUAAGAAUCCAACUUUAUCAUUUAUCAAUUCCAUACCCUCGAGCCAGUCAUUUAACCUCCAAAGUUUCAGGUACUUUAGCUGUAAAAUAAAUGGAAAAGGAUAUCUCUACCAUGUUACACUCUGUAUUCCUACCCAGCUCAAAAACAGGAACUUACUAAUACUUCUCACCACACAGGCAAGUCUUUGGGACUGCUGUGAUUUGGUUAUUUGUUUGUCCUCACCCAAAGCUCAUGUUGAAAUUUGAUCCCCAAUUUGUGGUGGUGUGGUUGGGCCUAGUGGAAGAUAUUUGGGUCCUGGGGGCAGAUUCUUCAUGAAAGGCUUGGUGCUAUCCUCCAGGUAAUGAGUGUGCGUUCUCCUUCUGGCUAGACAGAAUUAGUCCUCAUGGGAAUGGGUUAUUUCCCUUGAGCAUGGGUUGUUAUAAAGAAAGAGAGGUCCCACUUCCUGUUUGGUCCCACUUCAUACAUGCCUGCUUCCCCUUUGACUUCCUAGGCCAUGUUUUGAUGCAGCACAAAAGCCCUCACCAGAAGCCAAGCAGAUGCUGGUGCCAUGCUUCUUGUACAACCUGCAGCACUAUGAGCCAAUUAAGCCUCUUUUCUUUAUGAACUGUCCAGCCUCAGGCAUCCCUUUACAGCACCCCAAAUGGGUUAAGACAGGGAUCAAGCACCAGCUAUUCUCUUUACUUCUUACUUCUCCUCCUAGGAAGAAGGAAUGACUUAACUGAUUGAAGCAAUUAGAGUCAAACAUCUAUUAGUCAUGGUUUCUGUUUUUGGAAGAGAUAAUGCAUCAAUUGUCACUGUUUAUGUGUGGUCUUUUUUUUUUUUUUUUUGAGACAAGACUUUUAGCUUUGUUGUCAAUUGCUCCAGAAUCAAGAAGCGGGGUGGGGCAGGGUGGGGGAUAAGUCAUUAACUGGUAAUCUGCAGUGAUCUCAACAAUAAUAUUUGUGAUGUCAGUUCCGGAUCAAGAGAGUAGAAUGAGCAACAAACUUCCCAUCAAUCUCAGGACUCCCUGGAAAUCCUAGUGAUUUUAAGAUAUAUAAAAGUAACAAAAAAUGGAUUUCAUUAACAAAGAAGAUAAUUGGAGAGAGUUAACAUCUGAACAGAGAUUCCAACACAUUUUUGAAAUACAGAAAGAGAAUAAAAACCUAUUGAAAUAUGAAAUGGAGCAGAGCAAAGUGCAGAUGCAAAUCCAGUAAGAGCAGACUGCAGUGGAGGUGGAGGUGAAAGUCAGUAUUCUCACUGGAGGCACCAAAUGAAGUUGGCAAAUGAGGCAGAAGGCAGACAUGGGAAGUCGAGCAAACGGGAUUAUCCGGAGGUCUUUGAACCAAAUUUCUCCCCAGUGCCUCUCAUCCCUCUUUCCCUACACCAGCAAGUGGAAUCUCCUUGAUAAAUAAAGUGGCUGAACUGCUUAGGCUUUUAUUGGGGGUAUAGAGGUUUAAAACCUCUUUGUUUUAGCAUUUAGGGAAACUGCAACCUGUCAGCUGAUAUCCAUAUCACUCAUAUUGAAACAAAGCAGGUCGUUUAACACGCCCUUGCCUACAUACAUAAACUGCCAGUCAAAUUUCAAAGCAGUGAAGGGGAGUUUUUGAGAAAAGACCUAUUCACACAGCAGCGGAGGAAACCUACACAAAUUAACUAGAAUAAUGAGCCCCAUUCUUUAUUCUUAAAAGUGAUUGGAUAACAAAUAUACAUGUUAUAUAUAUAUAUAUAUAUAUUUAUAUAUAUAUAUAUAUAUAUAUAUAUAUAUAUAUAUAUAUAUAUGUAUGAAAACCAAAAGCACAAAGUAAAAGACCAAAUUAAUAAAACAGAAAAACCAACUCUGCAGAAAACAGAAGAUAACUUAAUAAUAACAGCAUUUAUAUUGCACUUAUUUGAAGUCAGGCAUUAUUCCAAGAGCUUUAUAUAUAUUAACUCAUUUCUUCCUGAGAACUAUCUUACAAAAUAUGAAUUUUUACCAUCUCCAUUUAACAAAUAAGAAAACUGAAGCACAGGGAGGUGGAAUGAGUUACUGCUGUGUGAAAGGGCUGUAUACGGGAAGCAGUCCCCAAAUGCUGCAGGAGUUGAGAAACCAAAGAGCCAUGCAGACAAAUUCAGUUUGCCGAUAAAGGGUGCUUCAUUGAGGGAACUUGCAGACAGAAAUGCGGUCUUGAGCAGCAGCAAGACAGGUAGAUCUCCACACUGUUACUCCCCAGAUCCAAGGCUUGUAGACCACAGGGAAAGGGUGUAUGUGCUCCAGCAACACAAAGGCACCCUCCAGAAGAGGCAAGAAUACUAUACGCAUCACAGCCUAUAAUUUCUGCAACAACAUCAAGGUUGACAAGUUCUUACACUAAGGACAGUAAAUAAAGCAGGAAUCAAGGAGCAUUCAUGAUACUGGAGCUAAUCAGAAAUCAACAUGGCAGAUUAGCAUGAAAAUAGGGCCACUUUGGUUUCCACAGUUACCCACAGUUAUAGCUAAGUGGUGGAGCCCAUGAUUCUAUCCGGGUCAGCUUGGCCCCAGAGUUUGCUCUCUAAUUAUCUGCCAAUUUUAAUUGGUAUCCUAGUCACGAUGUGAGAAAUCAUUACACUCAUGUAAUAAGAAUAGAAUGCAAUGAAUAAGGAACAGUUCAUCUAUAAUAAAGAAACUUUAGAGAUUCAAAACAUGACAGCUAAAAUAGAAAAGUUCAAUAGGGCCAGGCACAGUGGCUCACACCUGUAAUCCCAGCACUUUGGGAGGCUGAGGCAGGCAGAUUACUUGAGCUCAGGAGUUCAAGACCAGCCUGGACAACAUGGUGAAACCCUGUCUCUACCCAAAAUACAAAAAUUAGCCAGGUGCAGUGGUGUGCACCUGUAGUCCCAGCUACUUGGGAGGCUGAGGCAGGAGAAUCCCUUGAACCCAGGAGGCAGAGGCUGCAGUGAGCUGAGAUAGUGCCUGGGCAACAGAGUGAGACCCUGUCUCAAAAAAGGAAAAGAAAAGAAAAAGAAAGAUUCAAUAGGACUUAGAGGACUGGAAGAUAAAAGUAAAGUAAUCUCAAAGAAAAUAGAGUAAAAGAAAUAGAAAAGAUGAGGUAAAACUAAGAGACAUAAAAGACCAAUCUAGGAGGUUUAAUAUUUAACUAAAAAGAUCUUCAGAAAAAAUGUGUGUGUGUGUUUGUGUGUGUGUGUUUUAACAAUUACCAUUAUGUGGUAGGAUUUCAGAACACCAAGCAUUCUACACGUUUUUGAAGAUAAAGCAUGUCUCCUAUCAAUAAACAAAGAUUAGACUAGUCUUAAACAUCUCAACAGCAAGGACUAGAUAUUGGAAGACAGUGUAGAAAUUCCUUCAAGAUUUUGAAGGAAAAUAGUUUCCAACCUAGAAUUCUGUGCACAGUCAUAAUAUAAAAUACAUGAAAGAAAAGUUAAUACACUUAGAAACGUGAAACAUUAAUGUUAUAAAUACAUUUUCAAUGCCACAAAAGAAAUAGCACUCAAACAUUAAUUUUCUCAGCAAGGCAAUUUUACUUCUAUAGAAGGGUAUGACUCGCGGAUGGAGCAAUGGUGAGAGCACACUUGAAGAAGGGAGGAGAAGAGAUUUUUUUUCCUGAUGCAGGUAGCCCCUACUGCUGUGUCAUUCUCCUGCUGGCUAGGGUUGGACCGCACAGUCUAAGCUAAUUCUGAUUGGCUAUUUUAAAGAGAGAGGGGGUAGGAGUUGGAGUCAUGGAGUGAGUAGUUUGGUGGGAAGGGUGGUUACAGAACAGGUGAUUCAGGAUGAUUCAGGUCAGAGCAAGAGACCAGGGUCGACUCCGGACGGAGGAGGUGACCAGGGGAACAGAUGUGAACUACUGAUUUGAACUCGUGGAAAAGGUUGUUUACUGAAACGAGGGGUGAGGAGAACAAGGAAGUUAAACUUUAAAAUGGAGAACAAAGAACUGAACAUACUGACAUACUGAUUCUUUGAAGAGAAAUUUAGAACUCACUGUAUUCAAUAUUAAGAUCUAAGACUAUUAACCUGCAAUGUUUAAGACCGUACUCAAACAUACAUGGGAUUGAUGAUUAGGAAAAGGACAUAGAAUCAAGGAAACAGGUUUCAACCUAGGAGAACAACAAAGAGGAGACCAAGGAUGGAAGGUCUGCUACUGAUCUUCAGAGCCCUGGUCCAGAUUGUAACAAGGGGAUAAAGACCUCAGGAGGUGGAAAAGGUAGAAGAAGCUGUUUUGUUUUGUUUUGUUUUGGAGACGAAGUCUUGCUCUGUCGCCCAGGCUGGAGUGCAGUGGCACGAUCUCGGCUCACUGCAAGCUCCGCCUCCUGGGUUCAUGCCAUUCUCCUGCCUCAGCCUCCUGAGUAGCUGGGACUACAGGUGUCCGCCACCAUGCCCGGCUAAUUUUUUUUUUUUUUGUAUUUUUAGUAGAGACAGGGUUUCACCAUGUUAGCCAGGAUGGUCUCGAUCUCCUGACCUUGUGAUCUGCCUGCCUCAGCCUCCCAAAGUGCUGCAAUUACAAGCAUGAGUCACCGUGCAUGGCCAGGUAGCGGAAGAUUUAUCCAUCAUGGUCGAAAGACUGAAUAAGCUUGAUGAGAAAAGUUGAAGGAACCCAGGGCAAACCAAUACUCUUAUUCCAAAAAUGAAGCCUUAAAUAUGACAUGAUUAUUUAGUGAUUGAGAAUCUAGUUGAUCUUGAUCCCAAGAACAGUCUCUUUCAAGUAGGUCAAUCAAUAGUCAUGAUUUGAACGUGCUGAAAAGAAAGUGUAAUUCUUAGGUUAUGUACUAAAAAGUACCAAUACUGUCAUAAUGUGUAGGCCAUUUCUUGACUUCUAAAUUUUAUAGUCAACUUAUGGACAAAGCACAGAGGCCUUAAUUCUAAUUACACAACAUAUUACAUAAUAUAAAUAGCAGCAACGUUGAUGGUAUUCAAGAUACAGUCAGCAGAAAGUGGGAGAGAGAAAGUGGUGAGAGAAAGUGGUAAGAUAAAGUGAAAGUGCAGUGUACUAAAAUCCUCCCUUAUUUAGAAUGGGGUUCCAGAUACAGUUGAACCAAAACAAAUUAGAAAUAUAUAGAAUUUAAAGUUACUAAGAUAAUCCAUCCUCAAAAAAAUUAAAGUUCUAAUAUAAGUAAUAAACAUUGGAAGGAAAAGAAGAUGCUGGCAGUGAGCUGAAUUUUCAUUCUUUGUAGCAGGCAGCCAAUGGAUCAUGUCUGAACAUUUUAAGUUAAGAAUAGAUUUAAAAAUCUCUACUUUAGAGUUUAAAUGUAACCAGCUGAAUAACUAAAAACAAAUUUAAAGUAAGUUGCUUUUGGGAAGCAGGAUUGAGUUGAGGGAGGGAGUAAUAGAUUUGCUUUUCAAUAUUAGCUCUAUAUUAUUUGAUGUUUUAGCAUUUGCUGGUAUUAUUUGAUUUUUAAAUGUUACUUAUAUCCUUAAAUAACAACUCAUCUCUAUUUUAUAG
rnacentral:lncRNA from 1 species